rnacentral:rRNA from 1 species
GGCUAACGCUGGCGGCGUGUCUUAGCCAUGCAAGUCGAGCGGACUUAUGGGGUAACUUAUAAGUCAGCGGCGGACGGCGGAGUAACACGUAGCUAACCUACCCUCUGGACGGGGAUAACCUACCGAAAGGUGGGCUAAUACCCGAUGUAGUCAUCCUGUAUAGGGGUGAUGAAAGGUGGGCUUCUGUUUACAAGCUCAUGCUGGAGGAGGGGGCUGCGGCCUAUCAGGUAGUUGGUAGGGUAAUAGCCUACCAAGCCGAUGACGGGUAGCCGGCCUGAGAGGGUGACCGGCCCGAGGGGCACUGAGAUACGGGUCCCACUCCUACGGGAGGCAGCAGGCUAGAAAUUUGGGCAAUGGGGGAAACCCUGACCCAGUGACGCCGCGUGCAGGAAGGAGCCCUUCGGGGUGUAAACUGCUGUCGUGUAGGGAGAAGGGUACUAAGGUGAACAAUCUUAGUACUUGACGGUACUACAGGAGGAAGCCCAGGCUAACCUCGUGCCAGCAGCCGCGGUAAGGAGUAGUACA